rnacentral:rRNA from 1 species
UACGAAGGGGGCGAGCGUUGUCCGGAAUCAUUGGGCGUAAAGAGCGUGUAGGCGGCUCGGUAAGUCCGCUGUAAAAGUCCAGGGCUCAACCCUGGAAAGCCGGUGGAAACUGUCGAGCUAGAGUCCGGAAGAGGCGAGUGGAAUUCCUGGUGUAGCGGUGAAAUGCGCAGAUAUCAGGAGGAACACCAAUGGCGAAGGCAGCUCGCUGGGACGGUACUGACGCUGAGACGCGAAAGCGUGGGGAGCGAACAGG